AUACUGUCUUGUGUUUCUGAAGUUCAAAUAAUAUUAUCUGUUUUUAUCAGCUUAAUUUCUGGUAUGAAUCCCAUAUGGAUUCGAUAAAAAUUUGCAUAAGUUUUUGAAAAAAUAGACAUUUGGUAGCGUGCUUGCACCGCCAUUUGUCGCGGGUCGGCCUGAUAUUGCACUACAUUCAGGAACGGCUUAUGCUUU
rnacentral:snRNA from 1 species